rnacentral:tRNA from 1 species
GCCCGGGUGGCGGAAUUGGUAGACGCGUCGGUCUCAAAAACCGAUGAGUUCACACUCUUGCGGGUUCGAGUCCCGCCUCGGGUA